rnacentral:tRNA from 1 species
AGGAACUGUGCCCGAGUGCCCAGGGACCACUUUGAUAGAGUGGCUAACAGGGGUUAAAAUCCCCUUAGUUCUUA